rnacentral:rRNA from 1 species
AGUGAACGCUGGCGGUAGGCCUAACACAUGCAAGUCGAACGGCAGCACAGGAGAGCUUGCGCUCUGGGUGGCGAGGGGCGGUCGGGAGAGGAAUACAUCGGAAUCUACUCUGUCGUGGCGGAUAACGUAGGGAAACUCACGCUAAUACCCCAUACGACCUCCUGUUGAAAGCAGGGGACCUUCGUGCCUUUGGCGUUUGAAUGUGCCGAUGUCGGGUUAGCUAGUUGGCGGGGUACAGGCCCACCAAGGCGACGAUCCGUAGCUGGUCUGAGAGGAUGAUCAGCCACACUGGAACUGAGACACGGUCCAGACUCCUACGGGAGGCAGCAGUGGGGAAUAUUGGACAAUGGGCGCAAGCCUGAUCCAGCCAUACCGCGUGGGUGAAGAAGGCCUUCGGGUUGUAAAGCCCUUUUGUUGGGAAAGAAAUCCAGCUGGCUAAUACCCGGUUGGGAUGACGGUACCCAAAGAAUAAGCACCGGCUAACUUCGUGCCAGCAGCCGCCGUAA